GUGAAUCAUCGAAUUUUUGAGCGCAAAUUGCACUCUCCUCGGAGAGUAUGCCUGUUUGAGGGUCAGCCUAUAAAAAAUGGACAUCGUUGCUGUUUCGCGGUGGGGUUGGUCGGAAAUUGGGUCAUCUUAAAUCUUUGGGUUUUAAGCGACUUAAAAUUUUCUUUUUGGUUCCAGGAACGUUUCUAGGUUUUAUUUUUUUAAACGUUUAAGUAAUCGAUUUUUAUUGGACGUGACCAUAAUAUCG
rnacentral:misc_RNA from 1 species